rnacentral:tRNA from 1 species
GCCCGGAUGGUGGAACUGGUAGACACAAGGGAUUUAAAAUCCCUCGGGGGCGACUCUGUGCGGGUUCGAGUCCCGCUCCGGGCACCA